rnacentral:rRNA from 1 species
UAACGAGGCUGCUUGCAGCCGAAGUGAGUGAUACCCUGCUUCCAAAAAAGCCACUAAGCUUCAGCUACACACGACCGUACCGCAAACCGACACUGGUGCGCGAGAUGAGUAUUCUAAGGCGCUUGAGAGAACUCAGGAGAAGGAACUCGGCAAAUUAACACCGUAACUUCGGAAGAAGGUGUGCCUUUAGUAGGUGAAGUCCCUCGCGGAUGGAGCCCAAUGAGGUUGCAAAAAAUCGGUGGCUGCGACUGUUUAUUAAAAACACAGCACUCUGCAAACACGAAAGUGGACGUAUAGGGUGUGACGCCUGCCCGGUGCUGGAAGAUUAAAUGAUGGGGUGCAAGCUCUUGAUUGAAGUCCCAGUAAACGGCGGCCGUAACGAUAACGGUCCUAAGGUAGCGAAAUUCCUUGUCGGGUAAGUUCCGACCUGCACGAAUGGCGUAACGAUGGCCACACUGUCUCCUCCUGAGACUCAGCGAAGUUGAAAUGUUUGUGAUGAUGCAAUCUCCCCGCGGAAAGACGGAAAGACCCCAUGAACUUUUACUGUAGCUUUGUAUUGGACUUUGAACAGAUCUGCGUAGGAUAGGUGGGAGGCUUUGAAGCAGGGUCGCUAGAUCUUGUGGAGCCAACGUUGAAAUACCACCCUGUGUGUUUGAGGUUCUAACCUAGGUCCAUUAUCUGGAUCGGGGACAGUGCAUGGUAGGCAGUUUGACUGGGGCGGUCUCCUCCCAAAGUGUAACGGAGGAGUUCGAAGGUACGCUAGGUACGGUCGGACAUCGUGCUAAUAGUGCAAUGGCAUAAGCGUGCUUAACUGCGAGACUGACAAGUCGAGCAGAUGCGAAAGCAGGACAUAGUGAUCCGGUGGUUCUGUAUGGAAGGGCCAUCGCUCAACGGAUAAAAGGUACUCUGGGGAUAACAGGCUGAUACCGCCCAAGAGUUCAUAUCGACGGCGGUGUUUGGCACCUCGAUGUCGGCUCAUCUCAUCCUGGGGCUGUAGCCGGUCCCAAGGGUAUGGCUGUUCGCCAUUUAAAGAGGUACGUGAGCUGGGUUUAAAACGUCGUGAGACAGUUUGGUCCCUAUCUUCCGUGGGCGCUGCAGAUUUGAGGAAGCCUGCUCCUAGUACGAGAGGACCGGAGUGGACACACCUCUGGUGUAUCGGUUGUCACGCCAGUGGCAUUGCCGAGUAGCUAAGUGUGGAAGAGAUAACCGCUGAAAGCAUCUAAGCGGGAAACUCGUUUCAAGAUGAGAUCUGCCGGGGCCUGAGCCCCCUGAAGAGUCGUUCAAGACCAGGACGUUGAUAGGUCGGGUGUGGAAGCGCAGUAAUGCGUUAAGCUAACCGAUACUAAUUGCUCGUGCGACUUGAAC